rnacentral:rRNA from 1 species
UACAGAGGUCUCAAGCGUUGUUCGGAUUCAUUGGGCGUAAAGGGUGCGUAGGCGGCGCGGUAAGUCGGGUGUGAAAUCUUGGAGCUUAACUCCGAAACUGCAUUCGAUACUGCCGUGCUUGAGGACUGGAGAGGAGACUGGAAUUUACGGUGUAGCGGUGAAAUGCGUAGAUAUCGUAAGGAAGACCAGUGGCGAAGGCGGGUCUCUGGACAGUUCCUGACGCUGAAGCACGAAGGCCAGGGGAGCGAACAGG